rnacentral:tRNA from 1 species
GAUGAGGUGGCCGAGAGGUUAAGGCGAUGGACUGCUAAUCCAUUGUGCUCUGCCUGUGUGGGUUCGAAUCCCACCCUCAUUG